GGAAGUGCUGUAGCUUAAUGGCAGAGCGUCCAACUCACAUGCUGAAGGUCCCAGGCUCAAUCCUUGGCAUCUCCA